UGGGGAAUAUUAGGCAAUGGGGGAAACCCUGACCUAGCAACGCCGCGUGAAGGAAGAAGGCUUUCGGGUUGUAAACUUCUUUUACCAGGGACGAAGAACGUGACGGUACCUGGAGAAAAAGCUCCGGCUAACUACGUGCCAGCAGCCGCGGUAAUACGUAGGGAGCAAGCGUUGUCCGGAUUUACUGGGUGUAAAGGGCGUGUAGGCGGAGCAGCAAGUCAGAAGUGAAAUCUCCGGGCUUAACCCGGAAACUGCUUUUGAAACUGUUGCCCUUGAGUAUCGGAGAGGCAGGCGGAAUUCCUAGUGUAGCGGUGAAAUGCGUAGAUAUUAGGAAGAACACCAGUGGCGAAGGCGGCCUGCUGGACGACAACU
rnacentral:rRNA from 1 species